rnacentral:lncRNA from 1 species
GGGGGCUAGGAGGAAAAAUUUUGUCCUGCUUUUUUUUUUUAGUUGUAAUCUCUGUCCUGCCUUUUUAUUUUUUACUCUAUUCGGUCCUGCCUUUUUCUUACUAGUUUAUCCUGACUUUUUUUACACAAAUUGUCAUCCUAACUUUUUUUUUUUUACCAAGUUGCUCAUCCUGCCUUUUUUUUUACUCAAAACUCCUGUCCUGCCUAUUUUUUUCAAAUUUCAUCCUAGCCCCCCAUAAAAAUCAAAUGGUAGCUCCCUAAACAAAUAGGAGAAAAUCAAUGAUGAUUUUACAUGUAAAAUAGCCUCACUGGACACAAUUACGAACGAUUUUUGAACUUUAAUUAUUUUUUUUCUUUGUAGAAUACUUUUCUUGAAUUGUUUGUACCAUAGAAUUAAAGAUGUAUGAAUGCUUUUCAUUUUGAAUCAUAACACACAUAAUUUUCUAUUUACGUUGGGAUACUUUGGUAAGAUUUUCAUGACCUGGUUUUAUGGGUCUAGCAAGCCCAAUAUGGACGCAAUUACGAACAGCACUAUAUUUAUAUAUCUGGCAGAAAAAAUCAAUGACAACGAUCUAAAUUUAUGAAACAUACAUUAAUCUUAUCUUAAACACAUUUCCUAAGAAAAUAAGAAGUGUAAUAUGGUAUUUUACUUCAAAUUCUUCAGCAGUAGUUGAAGACGAAAUUAG